AGUUGUCUCAUGUCAAGCAAAUGUUUCUAUUGACUAUGAGAAGGAAUGGAUUAUUGACUCCGGAUGCUCACACCAUAUAACUGGGAAAUGACUCUCUGUUCUCUAAGUUUCAGUUGCAUAGUGGUGAUCGAGCGAUUGUCACUGCAGACAAUUCUGUACACCCAGUGAAAAAAGAAGGCAAUGUUAAUGUAGAUGGAGACAUUGUUUUGAAGAAUGUUUACCAUGUGCCUGGGUUAAAGAAAAAUUUGGUUUCAGUUUCUCAGAUAACUGAUGCUGGAAAGUAUGUCCUCUUUGGCCCAGAAGAUGUAAAGAUUCUUGACAAUGUGAAGAAUGUUGCUACUGAUGUUCUUCUUGUCGGUAAGAAGAAGAAAUCGUUGUUUGUGAUGUCUGCUAGUGAGACAUAUGUGUAGAUAACAAGUCGAAAUGAUGAAGCAUCAAUAUGGCAUGCCAGAUUGAGCCAUAUUGGUUAUCAAAUGUUGAAAGAAAUCUCUUUCAAGAAGUUGGCGAAUGGAAUUCCGAUUUUAAAAGACGUACAACGAGAUGUGAUUUGUCAAGGCUGCCAAUAUGGAAAAUCACAUCGUCUACCUUUCAAGAAGUCGUCGAAUUGUCCUGAUCUUUAGAGAGUUGUUUAGUUUAUUCUAGUCUUUAGGGAAAUGUUGAGAGACGUUGUGCAAUCUGUUAUGAGAACAGUGAGGUGUCAAUAAAAGAGGUGGGUAAGAACUAGUUUUAUGGCCAUUUGUUAAGUAGUUGAGAGUUUUUAGGAGUUGAACACGUAGAAGUGGUUCACUUAUUUUCAUCUAUUUAAAUUGCUUUAUGUAGUUCAGUUUUACAUAUGAGGAAAUAAAGGAGCAGUUUGUGGUCUUUGCCUCACUUCCUUUUGUUCUCUGUUGAAAUUUCAUAUAUCUCAUUUUUCUCCUUUAGUUUCAACCUCGACGGAGCAGCGACCAUCUCCAUUCUAGGAUUUUCGAUUUCUUCCUCAGAGAGGCCAGCUAUUAGGUUUCUGCGACCUCGACCAGCGAGCACGAACGAGAGACCUUGACGGACCAGCGACCAAAAUUUACUGCUUGCUAGGUAAAAACACUUGACGGUUGAAGAAUGGGAAAAAUUGGAUUGGGUAGGGAGGAAAAACACUCCUCUGCAGGUAAAAUAGGUUGAUGGAACGGGCGCUUCACCUUGACCGUUCGAUCCGUUCUCACCACGUGUCUUCAUCUCCAGCUUCGCUGCACCUCACCGCGCCAUUUCCUCACUGCAGAAGAUGUUUAUAAAAUAUUUAUUUUAAAUUCAAUGAAAAAGCCAAGAUGAUUAAAGUCA